rfam:Nicotiana attenuata strain TT chromosome 1, whole genome shotgun sequence.
UGGACAGAUUAUUGUAUUCGACUGUAUUCACGGCGUGAAAUAGGGGAUUACACUAUUUUUAAAACGGAAAGUGAAUCAAUUAACAUAAUAGACUCCC